GCAAGCCUGAUGCAGCCAUGCCGUCGUGUAGUGAAGUAAGGCCUUCGGGUUGUAAAGUACUUUCAGCAGUGAGGAAGGUGGGUAUGUUAAUAGCAUAUUCACUUUGACGUUAGCUGCAGAAGAAGCACCGGCUAACUCCGUGCCAGCAGCCGCGGUAAUACGGAGGGUGCGAGCGUUAAUCGGAAUUACUGGGCGUAAAGCGCAUGCAGGUGGUUUGUUAAGUCAGAUGUGAAAGCCCGGGGCUCAACCUCGGAAUUGCAUUUGAAACUGGCAAACUAGAGUACUGUAGAGGGGGUAGAAUUUCAGGUGUAGCGGUGAAAUGCGUAGAGAUCUGAAGGAAUACCGGUGGCGAAGGCGGCCCCCUGGACAGAUACUGACACUCAGACUGCGAAAGCGUGGGGAGCAAACAGGAUUAGAUACCCUGGUAG
rnacentral:rRNA from 1 species